GAUGUAUGGGCGUGAGGUCCUCCCAAUUGUACUUGAUCUGUCGCCCAUGAAGAAUCUCCAAGAGGUACAUUUGCGUAGAUGCCGGUUAUUUGUCGAGCUUUGCGGCCUUGAAGAAUUGGGAUCCCUUUGUUUCCUAUCGAUCGUGGAUUGCAGUUCCAUGGUAAGGAUGUCAGACCUAUCGAAAUUGAGAAAGUUAAGGAAGCUCAGAGUAGGACAAUGUCCAAAGCUAAGGAGCGUGGAAGGUCUGAACCACUUGGAAUCUUUACAGAAGUUGUGGAUUCACGAUUGCAGGUCGUUGGAGAGUUUGGCCGACACCUCAGAUUUGCAUUUAGAAUGUUCCACAGUGGAACGCUGCAAGCGGUUGCUGAACCGUGACAGUUACUGUAAAUGUCAUGAUAACAGAGGUCCCGGGUUUACCGCGCGCGACCACGCUGGGUAUUUUUGAGCUGGUUAUACUGAAUCCGACAACGAUGAAAGUGUGGCAAUUGAAUUCGGAUGGUCUGAAGAAGCCCAUUUGAAGACGAGGGAUAUAAGGAGUAGUACGUUGAGAAGCUCGGCA